GCAUUAAUGGGGUAGUGGUAACCUGGGUCGUUGCCAUCUUGGUUCGGAUACGAGUAAAUUAUCUCGACCCGCCGGGGGUUCGAUUCCCUCUUAAUGCA